CGGUAGGAGCCCCACAGCGUCAGGGCGGGGAGGGCGCUUGGAGAUCCCCCGGGUCGGCCCCCUCCGCACCCCGAUCGACUGAGGCCCGGAGAGUUCAGGAACCGGCUCGGGAGACCUCAGCGCCCGAACUCGGAGUUUUCGGACUUUUCAGGCCUCUGCCAAGGGCUUGGACUCGCAGGUGAAAGGACGGGCUCAUCUCACUUUUUUGUCCUGAGAGGAUGGUGGAAAGCUGCACUUGAAGUCCAACUCUGUCCUGGGGGAAUAAUUAUGUUCCCUGUCUUGGGAGCCUUUCUUCAGGGAGCUUGAUGGUUCCAACCCACCCAGGAGCCUGGGACAUCUGUGCCCCUGGGCAAUCCCCUGCAGGUAUGAGAGAACAGAAAUAGAGAUUUGGGUGGCUUUAGCUGUUUAAAAUAAGGUGACCAAACCUCCUUUCUGCCUGUUCCUGCUAUUUCAAACACCACUGUUCUCCACACAAUGAAAAUGGCCUUGUUCCUUAAGCCAAAGAUAGCUGAACUUUUGUUUGACAUUUUACACGGUGUCUUAUACCUGCCUGAAAGAAGGGGUGCAGGUCUUCACAGAAUGAGGAAAGGCCAGAGAUUUGGACUCCAAAGACCACAGCUUGGAUUCUAAGCUGUCACUUACCAGCCAAAAGGGAAUCUUGGCCCAGUCACUGAAGCCCCCUGAGUCUCAACUACCUCAUCUGUAAAGGGUCUCAUCAGGCCCACAUUAGAUUAUCUACUCGACCAUCAGUUCAAGCUCUAAGGUAAAGAUGUAGAGCAACUGGAACUUUCAUACACUGCUGCAACCACUUUGGAGACUAUCAGCAUUUUCCACUAAAGCUGAACAUUAUGGUCUAGAAAUUGCACUCCUGAGCAGGCUGGGUGGUCUUCGUGGCUUCAGCAUCAACCUGUACGAAGACGAUAAACAUCGUGUGCGCUUGCAGGAAAACAUCGCCACCACCCAACAACUCUAACCACACUCCUUUGUGAGGCCAAGAUUAGCCUGUAUGUGGCUUCCCUUGACUGUGUACAAAUCAUCAAGUCCCAGCCCCAGUGAGGGCAUCCAGAGGUCAUUUACUCCAUGUCCCCCCACCCAGUCCCCCCACCUGCUGCCUCAUGACAUUUAUUUGUCCCAGAAUCUUAAUCAUAGACAGCUGGAGUGUCCCUUAGAGAUCUCCUGGUCCGACCCUCUCAGGCUACAAGAGGGGGUCCAGACACAGGCUGUGUCUGGGUCACACAGCACAAGGGCUAGGGCAAGGGCAAGAACCCACAUCCUGCAAGCCUUCCCCUUUGGAGUAUCCUUUCCACUACUCCAAACUGCUUUUGUUAAUGUCACCUUCACCCCCAAGGUACAAUGUAGUGCAAUUUCUAACUUUCCAAUAAAAAAGGAGCGUGUGUAUGAAUAACCUACAUACUUAGGGAACCUCCUGCAGCCUGGGGUGUAAAGGCUUUCUUGCAUUUGUGGCCAGGACAACCGAGGCCGCUUUCAUUAAAGAAUGGUUUGGUGCCCUCUACUGGCUAUCAGUAACAAUGACAAUCACUGCCCCUCUUCCUGGGCAUCUGCUGAGCAGGACAUUCAACGUGCAAAUUUAUUUCUAAUUUUGAAUGCAAAGAACAGGCCUGGAGAGUAGGCAGUUUUAUCCCAACUUUAUAGAGGAUGAAAUUGAGGCUCAUACAUAUUAAAUAAUCCGCUCAAGUUGAUUGAGCCUGGAUUCAAACCCAGCCCUGUUUCUUCCGCUCCUCUGUGUCAGCACUUCUACUGAACAUGUGGGCAGGCCUAGGCUGGGACAUCAGUGGCUUGCUCAGGGCCACAAGUCCAGUAAACCCCAUGCUUGCUGUUCACCGUGCCAGGCUGCUUCCCAGAAGGAAAGUGACAUACAAAGUGCCCAAGGAAACUUCUUCCCUGUGGUAGCCUUCCUCCAGAAGGGGCGCUAGGAGGGGACCUAGGGUGUCUCUGGGCCUUUCUCUGUACCCAGGCGUAUGUGGUUAGGAGGUUCCAAGGGACUCAGAGAUGCAGAAAACACAUUUAAUCCACUUGAUUCAAUGAUGCUGUGCAACCGAGCCCUAGGAGUAAAUGUGUGAGUGAAUGAAUGAAUGAAUGGAGUGGUCUAGACACUGGCGUGAGGACUAAUGGCAGAGGCUGUGCAGGUCAGGGGUGGUUUUGCAGUUGUACUAUAAAGAGAUUGAUCCCAAUUUAAUUUGAGGAAUCCAUUUCUAUGGAUCAGAGCAGUCCACAGAUAGAGAAGGCUUCUACCGUGGGGGUGAACUCCACAUCCCAGGGAUAUGUAAGCAAGUUGAGAAGACUUCAGUGGAGUUGUUGAAAGGGGAUUUAGAGCCUAUGUGUGUUUUGUUUUGUUUUUUUGAGACGGAGGCUCACUCUGUUGCCAGGCUCGA
rnacentral:lncRNA from 1 species